rnacentral:rRNA from 1 species
CCUACGGGAGGCAGCAGUAAGGAAUAUUGGUCAAUGGGCGCAAGCCUGAACCAGCCAUGCCGCGUGCAGGAAGACGGCCCUAUGGGUUGUAAACUGCUUUUGAACAAGAGAAAACCUCGGUACGUGUACCGAGCUGAUAGUAUUGUUAGAAUAAGCAUCGGCUAACUUCGUGCCAGCAGCCGCGGUAAGACGAAGGAUGCAAGCGUUAUCCGGAUUCAUUGGGUUUAAAGGGUGCGUAGGCGGCCUGAUAAGUCAGUGGUGAAAUCUCUCAGCUUAACUGAGAAACUGCCAUUGAUACUGUCGGGCUUGAGUACAGAUGAUGUGGGCGGAAUAUGACAUGUAGUGGUGAAAUACUUAGAUAUGUCAUAGAACACCGAUUGCGAAGGCAGCUCACAAAACUGUAACUGACGCUGAGGCACGAAAGUGCGGGGAUCAAACAGGAUUAGAUACCCUGGUAGUCCGCACCGUAAACGAUGAUUACUCGUUGUUGGCAAUAUGACCGUCAGCGACCAAGCGAAAGCGAUAAGAAUCCACCCUGGGGAGUACGCCGGCAACGGAGAACGACGAAGAAGUUAGACGCGNGAGAGNGCGACGGCGACGACGAGGGAGGAGG